rnacentral:rRNA from 1 species
ACAGCAGUCGCCGCGGGAAUACGUAGGUGGCAAGCGUUGUCCGGAAUUAUUGGGCGUAGAGGGCUCGCAGGCGGUUUCUUAAGUCUGAUGUGAAAGCCCCCGGCUCAACCGGGGAGGGUCAUUGGAAACUGGGAAACUUGAGUGCAGAAGAGGAGAGUGGAAUUCCACGUGUAGCGGUGAAAUGCGUAGAGAUGUGGAGGAACACCAGUGGCGAAGGCGACUCUCUGGUCUGUAACUGACGCUGAGGAGCGAAAGCGUGGGGAGCGAACAGGAUUAGAUACCCCCGUAGUCCCUGUCUCUUAUAC